GCUUUGUUGAGGGCAGUUGCCUCGAGCACUACUUCCUAAUUGGUUUUCUAAUGUCACCAAGUGAAGAAAAGACCUGUGCACACAGGACACAGCCUGGUCUGACGCUUACGGUGUUUUCCUUUCUCUCUGCAGAGGGACUCAGCGAUUCGGGCAAGCUGUGCGUACUCUGGGGUCAUCGCUUUGCUAAGGAACAAUCUUAGGGUUGAGAAAGGUGACACUUUUCUCCCCGCAUUUGCUGGAGACCCACCCUGGAUUGAGCUUCUUCCUGGAAAUGAGAUUCCACCGUGGAUCCAAUGGAGGAACACCUCAGGGAGAAGAAAAAGGAGGCCCCAUGGAAAGUGAAGGAGGCCUGGAGAGAGCAGGAGAGUGGUAUGUAUGGGGGAAUCCCUCCCGUGUGAAUGAGGAAUCCAGGUGAUGAGGAAUGUGCCGCCGUCUCGCUGGCUUUCCUGCACACAGGCAGCCGGAGUGGAGCUUCCUGUUGUGACUGAGGACCAGGCUGUGGUGGUGAAGUGGUUGCUCCAGAUAGAAGCAGCUGGACCCCACAGUGUGGCAUGUGUUCGUUUGAACAUUGUACGGUGACCUGUCACGGAGGUC
rnacentral:lncRNA from 1 species